rnacentral:rRNA from 1 species
AUGAACGCUGGCGGCGUGCCUAAUACAUGCAAGUCGAGCGAACAGACGAGGAGCUUGCUCCUCUGACGUUAGCGGCGGACGGGUGAGUAACCCGUGGAUAACCUACCUAUAAGACUGGGAUAACUUCGGGAAACCGGAGCUAAUACCGGAUAAUAUAUUGAACCGCCUGGUUCAAUAGUGAAAGACGGUUUUGCUGUCACUUAUAGAUGGAUCCGCGCCGCAUUAGCUAGUUGGUAAGGUAACGGCUUACCAAGGCAACGAUGCGUAGCCGACCUGAGAGGGUGAUCGGCCACACUGGAACUGAGACACGGUCCAGACUCCUACGGGAGGCAGCAGUAGGGAAUCUUCCGCAAUGGGCGAAAGCUUGACGGAGCAACGCCGCGUGAGUGAUGAAGGUCUUCGGAUCGUAAAACUCUGUUAUUAGGGAAGAACAAAUGUGUAAGUAACUAUGCACGUCUUGACGGUACCUAAUCAGAAAGCCACGGCUAACUACGUG